CCCUGAUAGCUGACUCUGAGUUUU
rnacentral:piRNA from 1 species